rnacentral:rRNA from 1 species
AUUGAACGCUGGCGGCAUGCCUUACACAUGCAAGUCGAACGGUAACAGGUUAAGCUGACGAGUGGCGAACGGGUGAGUAAUGUAUCGGAACGUGCCCAGUCGUGGGGGAUAACUGCUCGAAAGAGCAGCUAAUACCGCAUACGACCUGAGGGUGAAAGCGGGGGAUCGCAAGACCUCGCGCGAUUGGAGCGGCCGAUAUCAGAUUAGGUAGUUGGUGAGGUAAAGGCUCACCAAGCCGACGAUCUGUAGCUGGUCUGAGAGGACGACCAGCCACACUGGGACUGAAACACGGCCCAGACUCCUACGGGAGGCAGCAGUGGGGAAUUUUGGACAAUGGGCGCAAGCCUGAUCCAGCCAUGCCGCGUGCGGGAAGAAGGCCUUCGGGUUGUAAACCGCUUUUGUCAGGGAAGAAAAGGUUCUGGCUAAUACCUGGGACUCAUGACGGUACCUGAAGAAUAAGCACCGGCUAACUACGUG